GGUGAUGUAAGCCGCAUUUGCUCCUGAACUCUGAUGACAUUUCCACUUAGCUUAAUAUGAAUGUUUUAGAAAUUUCCCACAAUGGAAAGUUCUAUUUGACAUAGGAAAGUUCAGCGGUCAGCUUCAUAGUCAGCUGUAUGCCAAGAAAUAACGAAAACAGUGGAUUGCAUAGUGCAGCCUUGGGACAUGGAAAAUUUCUUAGAAGAUGAAUGAAUCAUAUUAUUAAUACAUCUUGUGGGGCCUGAGGCCUUAUACUGAAAAACAGGGGGAAAGUUGUUAUUUUUUUAAAGCUUGUAGCCUUUUUGUAUUUUCUUUCUUGUGUUUUAUGUAGACUUUAUUCUUUUUAAUUUUUUAAGAAUAAUUACUAUCCUCUCAAUAUCACAUUUUUUAGAGAAAAGGGAAAAACAUCGGUAGUGUCUAGAAUCCUGACUUGUUCCUCUUGGCUUCCUUAAAAUUUUGUAAUAACCUUAAUCUUAAAUCAAAUCUUGUCUAAAAUUUCUUCCUAUAAAUAAUUAUGGUUAUUCACUUAUAAAAGGCUGCUUUAUUUGAGACUGUUUCUAUUUAGAAAGAAGACAAAUACAGAAAGACAUGUGGAAACAACUGAUUUAGAAUUUAGUAAGUUU
rnacentral:lncRNA from 1 species